rnacentral:rRNA from 1 species
GAAUUUUGGGCAAUGGGGGAAACCCUGACCCAGCAACGCCGCGUGAGGGAUGAAGGCCUUCGGGUCGUAAACCUCUGUCGAGAGGGAAGAAAGGUUGCGAGUCGAACAGGUUCGCGAUUUGACGGUACCUCCAAAGGAAGCACCGGCUAACCCCGUGCCAGCCGCCGCGGUAAUACGGAGGGUGCAAGCGUUGUUCGGAAUCAUUGGGCGUAAAGCGCGUGUAGGCGGCUUGGUAAGUCGGGUGUGAAAUCCCGGGGCUCAACCCCGGAAUUACAUUCGAAACUGCCUCGCUGGAGUCCCGGAGAGGGUGGCGGAAUUCCCAGUGUAGAGGUGAAAUUCGUAGAUAUUGGGAAGAACACCGGCGGCGAAGGCGGCCACCUGGACGGCGACUGACGCUGAGACGCGAAAGCGUGGGGAGCAAACAGG